rnacentral:rRNA from 1 species
CCUACGGGAGGCAGCAGUGAGGAAUAUUGGUCAAUGGGCGCUAGCCUGAACCAGCCAAGUAGCGUGAAGGAUGACUGCCCUAUGGGUUGUAAACUCCUUUUAUAUGGGAAUAAAGUGCAGUAUGUAUACUGCUUUGCACGUAUCUUAUGAAUAAGGAUCGGCCAACUCCGUGCCAGCAGCCGCGGUAAUACGGAGGGUCCGAGCGUUAUCCGGAUUUAUUGGGUUUAAAGGGAGCGUAGGCGGGUUGUUAAGUCAGUCGUGAAAGUUUGCGGCUCAACCGUAAAAUUGCAGUUGAUACUGGGUAACUUGAGUGCAGGAGAGGUAAGCGGAAUUCGUGGUGUAGCGGUGAAAUGCUUAGAUAUCACGAAGAACUCCGGUUGCGAAGGCAGCCUGCUGGACUGUAACUGACGCUGAGGCUCGAAAGUGUGGGGAUCAAACAGGAUUAGAUACCCCGGUAGUC